rnacentral:tRNA from 1 species
GCCCUCAUCGUCUAGAGGCCUAGGACAUUUCCCUUUCACGGAGACAACGGGGAUUCGAAUUCCCCUGGGGGUA